ACCCAGCUGACGAGUCCCAAAUAGGUCGAAGCUCACGUCCUGGAU
rnacentral:hammerhead_ribozyme from 1 species